rnacentral:rRNA from 1 species
UAACACGUAUCCAACCUGCCGAUAACUCGGGGAUAGCCUUUCGAAAGAAAGAUUAAUACCCGAUGGUAUAAUCAGACCGCAUGGCUUGUUAUUAAAGAAUUUCGGUUAUCGAUGGGGAUGCGUUCCAUUAGGCAGUUGGUGAGGUAACGGCUCACCAAACCUUCGAUGGAUAGGGGUUCUGAGAGGAAGGUCCCCCACAUUGGAACUGAGACACGGUCCAAACUCCUACGGGAGGCAGCAGUGAGGAAUAUUGGUCAAUGGGCGCAGGCCUGAACCAGCCAAGUAGCGUGAAGGAUGACUGCCCUAUGGGUUGUAAACUUCUUUUAUAUGGGANUAAAGUUUUCCACGUGUGGAAUUUUGUAUGUACCAUAUGAAUAAGGAUCGGCUAACUCCGUGCCAGCAGCCGCGGUAAUACGGAGGAUCCGAGCGUUAUCCGGAUUUAUUGGGUUUAAAGGGAGCGUAGGUGGACAGUUAAGUCAGUUGUGAAAGUUUGCGGCUCAACCGUAAAAUUGCAGUUGAUACUGGCUGUCUUGAGUACAGUAGAGGUGGGCGGAAUUCGUGGUGUAGCGGUGAAAUGCUUAGAUAUCACGAAGAACUCCGAUUGCGAAGGCAGCUCACUGGACUGCAACUGACACUGAUGCUCGAAAGUGUGGGUAUCAAACAGGAUUAGAUACCCUGGUAGUCCACACAGUAAACGAUGA